CGCCAUCGCACGUUGCCAGGGCAUGCCGCCGACGAGCGCGGAGGAGCCUCCUGUGUCCGAGGCAGCCGAGUUGACGGCGGCCUGCGUGCCGAUGAGCGGGGAUGCGGUAAGUCCGCGGACGCUUCCUGCGGAUGGCUCGGAGGCCGAGGCGUCCACGUCGAGCCCGGGCGUGCUACAUGUGGCGGACCUGUGUGGCCCGAGCGUCGUGCCGCAGCGGCGGCGUGCGUCGGACGACGACAGCUCACAAGCGGACGAGCCGGAGACGACGGGGCGGCGCAAGCGGCAUAUUCUCUCCGAGCAGCGGCGGCGCAACCAGAUCCGGGAAGGCUUCAAGAACCUCUCCGACCUCCUUGAUGUGGGGCGCGCGUACGGCGCACGCGCGCUGGGGCUCAAUGCGGGCGCUGGGAUGGGCGUCGAGGACGAAGAGCUCGACGACCGCACCGACACCGAGGAGGAUCUCAUCCUGGGCUGUGACGAGGAGGAGGUGCAGCGGCGCAAGCGCAAUGCUCAGCGGCGCGCGCGCAGUCGCGCCGUCCAAGGCAAGCAGAACCGCGGGCGCGGGCGCGGGCGCGGAGGCAGCGCGGGCGGCGCCGGAAGCAAAUCGGCGGUGCUGUUCCAGGUGAUCGACCUGCUCGACUGGCUCGAGGGGCGCAACGCGGCCCUGGCGCAGGAGAUUGCGCAUCUGGAAGCGCACGCCGAGGCGGGCAUGGCGUACGGUGCGUAUCGGUCGCAGUAGCAGGGUAUGCUAUGACAUCGGAUGCACGGGCACCGCCUCGUAGUCGGUGCGCGCGGAUCCAAAGGGGCCCGACUCGUUCAGGAAGCGGGGGUGCGUGCUGAUCGAGCGGCGCAGGCGCGGCAUCUCGCUGUCCGCCGCGCGGAUUUCGCCCGUGUCCACGUCCUCGUGGGGAACGGGUGCGUGGUGGUCGCCGAAGAGGGCGUCCAUUUCUUCGAGCGGCACGCCCUGUGUCUCGGGAUACAGUGCGUAUACGACUCCGAAGGAGACGAGGCAGCACACGGCGUGCAGCAGGUACAGGCGCCACCCGAUCGUCUCCUGCAGGAUGGGCGUGAGCUGUCCCACGACCCAGUUGAACACCCAGUUGGUGGCCGCCGCGAGCGACGUGCCUUUUGCACGGAAGGCCAGCGGCAUGAUCUCGGGCGUCCACGCCCAGGGGAUCGGGCCCCACGAGUACCCGAACGCCGCAUUGAAGAGCACGACGCAUGCGGCCACGGCCGUCGGCGUGUACGCGCGGUCGGCGCGGAGGAACAGGCCACAUGCGCCGAGUGUCAGUGCACACAGCAGGGCACCCGACAGCAAGAUCGGCCGGCGGCCCCACGAGUCCACGAGGAACCACGUCGGCACGGUCGACAGCACGUACACCGUCGCAUUGAUGCCCGUCAUGAACAGGGCAUCGCGCCCGACCCAGCCUGCGCUCUCGAACACGAGCGGCGCAUAGUACGAGAUGACGUUGAUGCCAUUCAGCUGCGCGAGCAUCUGCGACGACAUACCCAGGAGCGUGCGCGCACGCAGCCGCUGCCACAGCGCGCGGUACGAGCGGUCGCCCUGUGCGCGCAUCUGCCGCACCGUCGUCUGGAUCUCCCAGAACUCGAGCUUGGCGCGGGCGUGCCGCGGAUCGGCCGUGCCGUUCAGGUCCACGAGCACCCGCAUCGCCUCCGCGUCGCGAUCCACGUCGCAGAGCCACCUUGGGCUCUCUGGUAGCAGCGUCGCUCCAUAGAGCAGCACGCCGCCGAUCAAGGGCUGCACAGCCAGCGGCAGGCGCCAUGCCCAGCCGUUCUGCAGGAAGCUGCACACGUAGCCCAUCCACACACU
rnacentral:lncRNA from 1 species